rnacentral:rRNA from 1 species
GAUGAACGCUGGCGGCGUGCUUAACACAUGCAAGUCGAACGGUGAAAGCGGAGCUUGCUCUGCUGGAUCAGUGGCGAACGGGUGAGUAACACGUGAGCAAUCUGCCCCUGACUCUGGGAUAAGCGCUGGAAACGGCGUCUAAUACUGGAUACGAGCUGCGAAGGCAUCUUCAGCAGCUGGAAAGAAUUUCGGUCAGGGAUGAGCUCGCGGCCCAUCAGCUUGUUGGUGAGGUAAUGGCUCACCAAGGCGUCGACGGGUAGCCGGCCUGAGAGGGUGACCGGCCACACUGGGACUGAGACACGGCCCAGACUCCUACGGGAGGCAGCAGUGGGGAAUAUUGCACAAUGGGCGCAAGCCUGAUGCAGCAACGCCGCGUGAGGGACGACGGCCUUCGGGUUGUAAACCUCUUUUAGCAGGGAAGAAGCGAAAGUGACGGUACCUGCAGAAAAAGCGCCGGCUAACUACGUGCCAGCCGCCGCGGUAA